CUACGUGCCAGCAGCCGCGGUAAUACGGAGGAUGCGAGCGUUAUCCGGAUUUAUUGGGUUUAAAGGGUGCGUAGGCGGCCUGUUAAGUCAGCGGUGAAAUCUAGGAGCUUAACUCCUAAAUUGCCAUUGAUACUGGCGGGCUUGAGUGUAGAUGAGGUAGGCGGAAUGCGUGGUGUAGCGGUGGAAUGCAUAGAUAUCACGCAGAACUCCGAUUGCGAAGGCAGCUUACUAAGGUACAACUGACGCUGAAGCACGAAAGCGUGGGUAUCAAACAGGAUUAGAUACCCUGGUAGUCCACGCAGUAAACGAUGAUAACUGGGCGUAUGCGAUAUACAGUAUGCUCCUAAGCGAAAGCGUUAAGUUAUCCACCUGGGGAGUACGCCGGCAACGGUGAAACUCAAAGGAAUUGACGGGGGCCCGCACAAGCGGAGGAACAUGUGGUUUAAUUCGAUGAUACGCGAGGAACCUUACCCGGGCUUGAAUUGCAGAGGAGUUAUUUAGAGAUA
rnacentral:rRNA from 1 species